GUGUGAGGGUAAAUCUGGCCCCCGUUCCUCCAUCUUGGCUGGAAGUGGAAGUCCCGGUGGAUAUUUUUGAGCCCCUGAUGUAUGCCAGGCACUGCUGUAAGCACUGAGUAUUCAAAGAUGAACAAAAUGAUGUGGCCCCAGUCUCCUAAAAUUUACUAUCAAGAGAAGAAGACAACAGGAUCAUGCUUCUGUGGUUCAGUUGUACCUCCCUCCACGAUGACAUCAUACAACUCCAGGAAAACUAAUCUUAGGUAGGUGUGGUCUGACUGCUUUCAAGGAAAUUGCUAUUUUUCCUGCCAGUGCUUGCUUCAAUAAUGGGCAUUUGAUACAACUUGGUCCAGUGAGAGGAAAAGGGAAACCUGUUGAAAGAUCCAGACAAAGUUUUAUCUUUCCAAAAAAAAAAGGAAAAGAUAGCCUCCUUCCUUCCUUGGGGGGCUAUGGACUCAGAAUGUUUACCUGGAAUUGCUGCUCCAGCCAUCUGACACCUGAGACCUGAGGAUGGAGCCAACAGUAAAGAGAACAGAGAGGAGGCUGAAAGAAGCUGGGUUUUUCAUGACACCACUGAGUGCCCGGAUCAACCUGCUCUAAGAACUGCCCUCUUUGUGUAUUUCCUAUUAUGUGGGAUAAUGAACUCUUCUACUGUUUGAGUUAGAGUUUCCACCUCUUGCAGCCCAAGCAUCCUAACCAAUAUACACCCACUGACUCAAAAUCUCCAGUGAUAAAUCUGCCUCAGGUGAUUCUGACUUAUCCUCAAGUGUGGAAACUGCUGGAAAGCUGGAGAGGACAUUAAAUUGGUCAUCACAGGUCCAGUUGCUGGCACUGGCUCUGCCAUUAAAUUGCUGAGCCAUCUGGGGCAAGUAAUUUUCUCUCUCUGAGCCUCAGCAUCCUCAGGAACCAAAAGGCUACACCAUAGGGCUUCUGCCUCUCUUUGUGGUCUCGUGUUUUGCUGCAAUGUAGUUCUAGGCAAGUAUGGUGGGUACCGUGGGCAAGACAGAACACAAACAAAAGAAAACAUUCUACUAAAUGCUUUGACAUCGGUACUGUUGAGCAGGAAGUUUUGGUCUUUGAAACAAAAGCUGGCUGCAGACUUUUCUGCUUUUUAGAGGAAUGGCAGAAUUAAUCUCAGGUUGUCAAAGGUUCUAUGGUUCAGAAAAAUGCCUUGAGAGACAUUUUGAUUCCAAUAUGGGGCACACCCUCCACCCACCCCGCAAAGCCUGGCUGAGUGGUG
rnacentral:lncRNA from 10 species